rnacentral:rRNA from 1 species
UACAGAGGUGGCAAGCGUUGUUCGGAAUUACUGGGCGUAAAGGGCGCGUAGGCGGCCUCGUAAGUCCUGUGUGAAAUCCCCCGGCUCAACUGGGGAACUGCACAGGAAACUGCGAGGCUUGAGUUCGGGAGAGGGAAGCGGAAUUCCGGGUGUAGCGGUGAAAUGCGUAGAUAUCCGGAGGAACACCGGUGGCGAAGGCGGCUUCCUGGACCGACACUGACGCUGAGGCGCGAAAGCCCAGGGGAGCAAACGGG